rnacentral:rRNA from 1 species
AACGAACGCUGGCGGCAUGCCUAACACAUGCAAGUCGAACGAGACCUUCGGGUCUAGUGGCGCACGGGUUCGUAACGCGUGGGAACCUUCCCUUAGGUUCGGAAUAACUCCCCGAAAGGGGUGCUAAUACCGGAUAAUGUCUUCGGACCAAAGAUUUAUCGCCUUUGGUUGGGCCCGCGUUGGAUUAGCUAGUUGGUAGGGUAAAAGCCUACCAAGGCGACGAUCCAUAGCUGGUUUGAGAGGAUGAUCAGCCACACUGGGACGGAGACACGGCCCAGACUCCUACGGGAGGCAGCAGUGGGGAAUAUUGGACAAUGGGCGAAAGCCUGAUCCAGCAAUGCCGCGUGAGUGAUGAAGGCAUUAGGGUUGUAAAGCUCUUUUACCCGGGAUGAUAAUGACAGUACCGGGAGAAUAAGCUCCGGCUAACUCCGUG